rnacentral:rRNA from 1 species
GUAGGUGGCAAGCGUUGUCCGGGAAUUAUUGGGGCGUAAAGCGCGCGCAGGCGGUUCUUUAAGUCUGAUGUGAAAGCCCACGGGCUCAACCGUGGAGGGUCAUUGGAAACUGGAGAACUUGAGUACAGAAGAGGAAAGCGGAAUUCCACGUGUAGCGGUGAAAUGCGUAGAGAUGUGGAGGAACACCAGUGGCGAAGGCGGCUUUCUGGUCUGUAACUGACGCAGAGGCGCGAAAGCGUGGGAGCAAACAGGAUUAGAUACCCUGGUAGUCCACGCCGUAAACGAUGAGUGCUAAGUGUUAGGGGGUUUCCGCCCCUUAGUGCUGCAGCUAACGCAUUAAGCACUCCGCCUGGGGAGUACGGCCGCAAAGGCUGA